rnacentral:rRNA from 1 species
AUUGAACGCUGGCGGCAUGCUUUACACAUGCAAGUCGAACGGCAGCGCGGGCUUCGGCCUGGCGGCGAGUGGCGAACGGGUGAGUAAUGCAUCGGAACGUGCCCAGUAGUGGGGGAUAGCCCGGCGAAAGCCGGAUUAAUACCGCAUACGACCUGAGGGUGAAAGCGGGGGACCGAAAGGCCUCGCGCUAUUGGAGCGGCCGAUGUCGGAUUAGCUAGUUGGUGGGGUAAAGGCUUACCAAGGCGACGAUCCGUAGCUGGUCUGAGAGGACGACCAGCCACUGGGACUGAGACACGGCCCAGACUCCUACGGGAGGCAGCAGUGGGGAAUUUUGGACAAAGGGGGCAACCCUGAUCCAGCCAUGCCGCGUGCGGGAAGAAGGCCUUCGGGUUGUAAACCGCUUUUGUUCGGGAAGAAAUCCUCUGGGCUAAUACCCCGGGGGGAUGACGGUACCGGAAGAAUAAGCACCGGCUAACUACGUG